rnacentral:sRNA from 1 species
AACCAAUAAUAAUGAUUUCUCUUCUUCUAUGAAUUCAAUCGUCAUCUAUGAAUAUUUUUCAUUUAAUCAGUAUCUUAAUCGAAUUUUCCAUUUAAAGUUUCUUCUUCAUAUCUUUUUAUGUUUUUCCUUCGGCACUUAUGCUCCAUUUUUCCUUUUUGUUUUUUGAAUAUCAAGAGGUUUUGGACUAAAACCCGUAAUUUUCAAGACCCAAGACCAGCAUGUAAUAUUAGAUUUGUCUCAUAUCUCUCUUUUUUUUUUACAGAAUAUCUUAGUAUUUUCACGAUAAGUUUUAAAAGGCGACAAUAUUUUUUAACAUACGCAGUUGUAUCUUCUUUUUUUGGAUCAAACUAUAGUUGUAUCUUAACCGUAAGCAACUACCCGUCUACACAUCCUUAUA